GCCCAUGUUGCUCAGUGGUUAGAACGUUGGCCCGUGCACUGAAGGGUCUCAGGUUAGAUUCCUGGUCAUGGGCA
rnacentral:tRNA from 1 species